AUAGUAUCUGAGUUGCAGUGAUAGUGGUCUCCUAAGGUUCUGUGGUGAUUCCUUUAAGGUUUAGUGAGUAGUUUGUAAAAUAGUAUGAUUUACGAGAUGGAAUUAAUUAAUCAAAGCAUAGAUUUAAUGGUUAAAAGCUAGAUAGCACCAAGUACUUGAUACUAUUAAUAAUAUCUCAAACGGACUCAAAACAAUCAUCCCUCAA
rnacentral:lncRNA from 1 species